rnacentral:rRNA from 1 species
CAUUACCGAGUUCUCGGGCU